rnacentral:lncRNA from 1 species
UCUAUGAUUUGGGCUGAAGUAGGUGUUGGAGAGGCAGCUACCACGUGCACCCAGAUGGCCACUCGUUUAAUAUGUUACCAUUUCCCAUUAUUUUCGCAGAAGACCUUUGCCACCUGUGCCUCCCACCUCACUGUGGUUAUUGUCCACUGUGGCUGUGCCUCCAUUGCCUACCUCAAGCCGAAGUCAGAAAGUUCAAAAGAAAAAGACCUUGUUCUCUCAGUGACGUACACCAUCAUCACUCCCCUGCUGAACCCUGUUGUUUACAGUCUGAGAAACAAGGAGGUAAAGGAUGCCCUAUGCAGAGUUGUGGGCAGAAAUAUUUCUUAAUGGAUUGGAUUAUUUCAUUAAGAGACCAUUAGCCCAGUGUAGUGUGUCUACUCACAAACAUGCCACAAUACACAAGUUCAUCAAAUAUAAUAUUUGUUGAGAAUACUGUCAGAGAAUAGAAAUGCUUGUCUGUUUAGUG